UGGCGGACGGGUGAGUAAUGUCUGGGAAACUGCCUGAUGGAGGGGGAUAACUACUGGAAACGGUAGCUAAUACCGCAUAACGUCGCAAGACCAAAGAGGGGGACCUUCGGGCCUCUUGCCAUCGGAUGUGCCCAGAUGGGAUUAGCUAGUAGGUGGGGUAACGGCUCACCUAGGCGACGAUCCCUAGCUGGUCUGAGAGGAUGACCAGCCACACUGGAACUGAGACACGGUCCAGGCUCCUACGGGAGGCAGCAUG
rnacentral:rRNA from 1 species